ensembl:lncRNA
GACUGUUCCACCUCCUGCAGGAUGCUGCUGCUCUUCUGGUUCUGCUCCACAAAUACGAACUCGAGCUGCGUUCACCGAAACUACACAACCUACACAACUUACUGCAGACAUCCGGCAGCGAGAACACACAGAUUAACGUCUCUGUAACUGUAAGUCACUCAUCUAAAUACAGCUCACUCAGAAUGGACGUGUAAAUGCAGCGGUUUGUUUCUGUAAGGUGUAAAAUCCUGGAGUAGAAGAGAGAGGUGGAAAGUGUAAAAUCCUGGAGUAGAAGAGAGAGGUGGAAAGUGUAAAGUCCUGGAGUUCCGGUCCCUUUACACCUUCCUGAAGGUUUUGUGGAAUCCAUACGCCAUCAGAGACGCACAACUACCACAAACUCUUCCCUCUGAAAAAGGAACGUAGUGCAUCUGAUGAUGGUCAGUAAACUGUUUCUUCUCGUUCUCAG